rnacentral:rRNA from 1 species
UACGUAGGUGGCAAGCGUUAUCCGGAAUUACUGGGCGUAAAGCGCACGCAGGUGGUUAUCUAAGAUUGACGUGAAAGCUUCUGGCUUAACUGGAAGACGUCGUUGAUGACUGGAUGACUUGAGACGAGGAGAGGGGUGCAGAAUUCCCGGUGUAGUGGUGGAAUGCGUAGAGAUCGGGAGGAAUACCAGAGGCGAAAGCGGCACCCUGGCCUUAGUCUGACGCUCAGGUGCGAAAGCGUGGGGAGCGAACGGG